rnacentral:rRNA from 1 species
GUGGGGAAUAUUGGACAAUGGGCGAAAGCCUGAUCCAGCCAUGUCGCGUGUGUGAAGAAGGUCUUCGGAUUGUAAAGCACUUUAAGUUGGGAGGAAGGGCAGUAAGUUAAUACCUUGCUGUUUUGACGUUACCGACAGAAUAAGCACCGGCUAACUUCGUGCCAGCAGCCGCGGUAAUACGAAGGGUGCAAGCGUUAAUCGGAAUUACUGGGCGUAAAGCGCGCGUAGGUGGUUUUGUAAGUUGAAGGUGAAAUCCCCGGGCUCAACCUGGGAACUGCCUCCAAAACUGCAUGACUAGAGUACGGUAGAGGGUAGUGGAAUUUCCUGUGUAGCGGUGAAAUGCGUAGAUAUAGGAAGGAACACCAGUGGCGAAGGCGACUACCUGGACUGAUACUGACACUGAGGUGCGAAAGCGUGGGGAGCAAACAGGAUUAGAAACCCUAGUAGUCC